rnacentral:lncRNA from 1 species
GAAGCUUUGCUCUGUCAACUCUGCUCUGGUUAGCUCUGCUCUGGACUUUUCCCUCUGCCUAUUUCUCACAGCUUCUUUGCUCCCUGCUGCUCAUCUUUGGUAUUCCACUUUGGUAUUCCAAGCAAAGCCACGUGUCCUGAUCUUAGGACCUUGCAUAUUUCACCCCUCAUCAGAGUUGAUAAAUCAUAUUGCUUCCAUGCAACAAUCACAACACGCUUGAUGGAAGAUGCCAAAAUUAUUUCCAAAAUUUGUUCUUUCUAAAAUAAUAAUCAUUCUAUAUUUAAAAUAGUGAAACCCGUUAUUAAAUUAGGAAACUAAUUUAAUACUUACCAUAGGUGUGUAGGAAGAAUCACGGCAGAUCGGGAAAUGGAGGUAUCAAAACAGAGAAGUUUUCGGUGGGGUGGGGGUCGACGACACAGUAGACGAACUCCAGGGCUCAGCGGUGACUCGGCGGCGGAUGAACCGCAAGCUCAGAGGCAACUAUUUCGUCGGAGUCUAGAAGAAGGAACGGCAACAGGUUAUAGGAAAAAUAAAUCUUAGGGCUCUUGUAUUAAUUGCUUUGAAUGGAGAAUUCUCAUGGGUUUAAGAAGUGGAAACAGAAUCGAACUAAUUAAGGAAUGGAAAAGGGAGUCAGAGAUGAGGCG